rnacentral:misc_RNA from 1 species
GUCUGGGUACUUUAGCUUUUCUUCUGUUGCUGUUUGAUCCUUGCUUAAAUGAACUUAUUUUUUUCUUGAACAAAUCUUUGAAAAACUAUCAUCUGCUAUUUUUAUCUUUGCUGCAUUUAUUUACAUGUGGUUUUCUUUCUUAUUAUUACAUUCUCUGAUAGACAAGGAUUAGAAAUUAGAAUAUCGUAUGUGAAUGGAUAAUUGCUAGAUCUGGUGAGGGAUUGUCCUGUACUAUCAUGCUUUGUGCCCAUUUAACUUCUAAUGCUGUCUUAUGUUAUUAAAACUGCAGGCUUCAGGGGAAGUCUCAAAUAG